rnacentral:rRNA from 1 species
GAUGAACGCUGGCGGCGUGCCUAAUACAUGCAAGUCGAGCGAACAGACGAGGAGCUUGCUCCUCUGACGUUAGCGGCGGACGGGUGAGUAACACGUGGAUAACCUACCUAUAAGACUGGGAUAACUUCGGGAAACCGGAGCUAAUACCGGAUAAUAUAUUGAACCGCAUGGUUCAAUAGUGAAAGACGGUUUUGCUGUCACUUAUAGAUGGAUCCGCGCCGCAUCAGCUAGUUGGUAAGGUAACGGCUUACCAAGGCAACGAUGCGUAGCCGACCUGAGAGGGUGAUCGGCCACACUGGAACUGAGACACGGUCCAGACUCCUACGGGAGGCAGCAGUAGGGAAUCUUCCGCAAUGGGCGAAAGCCUGACGGAGCAACGCCGCGUGAGUGAUGAAGGUCUUCGGAUCGUAAAACUCUGUUAUUAGGGAAGAACAAAUGUGUAAGUAACUAUGCACGUCUUGACGGUACCUAAUCAGAAAGCCACGGCUAACUACGAG